rnacentral:misc_RNA from 1 species
CAACCCCCCAAGCCCUGGCUGCUUGGUGUUGGGGCUUAAUCUGCAGCGCCUUUACGGCGGCUGCAGGCCCCUAAUUACAGUGGCGGACCCACCGAGGCCCCGAGCGCAGUAGACCCAAUCUCGCUCAGGGGGUUUCCGGGUACGUGUGUCAGUCGAGAUCUUGCCAUCGUGCCAAA